GGUAGCUUAGCUCAGUGGUUAGACCCUCAGGUCAGAGCAUCUUAAGUGUAAUAAGAAGGUCCCAGGUUUGAUUCCUGGAGUAACCA